AUUGAACGCUGGCGGCAGGCCUAACACAUGCAAGUCGAACGGUAGCACAGAGAGCUUGCUCUCGGGUGACGAGUGGCGGACGGGUGAGUAAUGUCUGGGAAACUGCCCGACGGAGGGGGAUAACUACUGGAAACGGUAGCUAAUACCGCAUAACGUCGCAAGACCAAAGUGGGGGACCUUCGGGCCUCACACCAUCGGAUGUGCCCAGAUGGGACUAGCUAGUAGGUGGGGUAAUGGCUAACCUAUGCGACGAUCCCUAGCUGGUCUGUGAGGAUGAACAGCCACACUGGAACUGAGACACGGUCCAUACUCCUACGGGAGGCAGCAGUGGGGAAUAUUGCACAAUGGGCGCAUGCCUGAUGCAGCCAUGCCGCGUGUAUGAAGAAGGCCUUCGGGUUGUAAAGUACUUUCAGCGGGGAGGAAGGCGGUGAAGUUAAUAAUUUCACCGGUUGACGUUACCCGCAGAAGAAGCACCGGCUAACUCCGUGCCAGCCGCCGCGGUAA
rnacentral:rRNA from 1 species